rnacentral:sRNA from 1 species
GAAAGGGCUUACUUAUUUGGCUUACACCUCCAGGUCCCCUUCACUGAGGGAGGGCAGGGCAGGAGCAGAAGCCCCAGAGGAACUGUGUUCACUGCCUCAAGCAUACCCACGCUGAGGACAGAAGCGCCUGGUCAGGAGUGGUACUGCCUACAGCAGGCUGUGUCCUUCAGCAACUGCCAUCAAGACAACGUCUACUGACGUGACUGUAUGACAAUCCGAUUGAGGCCAUUUUUCAGACACAGAGAUUGAAAGAGAAGAUGGUUACAGUCCGCACUCCACUCGGGAGGGAAGUCAGACUUCUCUUGUGAGUUCAAAGGCGUCCCUGAGAAGAGCUGGAGUGGCCUUUAAAGUGAAAAGCUUAGGUGAUUUAAAUGAGCAAGCCUUCACAGACUCGGAGAAGGUAAGCAACAGGUGUGGCCAGCACCGUGAAGAAGCGACGACCAGAGAGGGCAAACGGUGUCUGACGAUGUCAUCUGUCUGAAAAAUCGCGUGUAGCUGCAGACCCAGGAACCGCGUGGCUGGAGCUGUCCGAGGUCAUCACUAUCAGGAGGUUGGGUGCCAUCUUGGAGACUGGUUACCACACUGACAACAGAACGUUGCAGAAGGUUGUUCCUGGCUGUAUCACUGAGCCACAUCCCCAGGGUCCAGGUCUCGAACUCAGAUCACUGGGCUUAGCGGCAAGCUCUUUGGUGCCAUAUCAUAGCCCCUCAUCAACUUUCCAUGAGGUAUCACUGACUACAUGAACCUGUACGGCCUGAAUCUUGUUGGUGGGAACAAGAAGACAUGGGAAGGACGCCCUGGUUUGCCUUCCUGUUACUACAAUAAACAUCUUGACCAGAAGAAGUAACUUGGGGACGAAAGGAUACAUUUGGUUUACACAUUUCCGUCAGAGACCAUCGCUGAGGAAAGUCAAGGCAGGAACCACAGGGAAGGCUGCUCACUGAUGUGUUCUUUUGGCAUCUGUUCUCUGGUAGCUUUCUCAUACAGCCCAUGACUACCUGUCCAGGGAUGGCUCUGUCCACGGUGGCCUGGCCCCAACCAUAUCAGUCACCAGUCAAGACAAUGCCUUACAGACACAGGCACAGGCAAUCCCCCCAUCGGGCUUCCUCACUGACUUUGAGCUGUGCCAAGCUCACAGGGGAAGCAAAGCAGGACUGGGGCCUGGGAGGAUGGCACGACUGUCAGAAUACUUGCUGUUUCUGUGUGGAAACCUUAGCUCCAGUGCCCAGCAUACCCCAGAAAAGCUUCCUUGCUGCAAACCUAGCUCGGGAGAGCCUGUGUCAAGGGAAUCCAGGUUCAGUGGGAGACCCUGUCUCAGGGA